GAUGAACGCUGGCGGCGUGCUUAACACAUGCAAGUCGAACGGAAAGGCCCAAGCUUGCUUGGGUACUCGAGUGGCGAACGGGUGAGUAACACGUGGGUGAUCUGCCCUGCACUUCGGGAUAAGCCUGGGAAACUGGGUCUAAUACCGGAUAGGACCACAUGUUGGAUGGUGUGGUGGAGAGAGUUUCGGGGUGGGAUGAGCACGCGGCGUAUCAGCUUGUUGUUGGGGUGAUGGCGCACCAAGGCGUCGACGGGUGGCCGCUGUGUGAGGGUGUGCGGCGACACAGUGGCUCAGAGACGGGCCAGAGUCUUACGCGGGGGAGAAGUGGGGAAUAUUGCACAAUGGGCGCAGGCCUGUUGCAGCGACGCCGCGUGGGGGAUGACGGCGUUCGGGUUGUAAACACCUUUCGCUAGGGACAAGGCGUUUUUGUGACGGUACCUGGAGAAGAAGCACCGGCUAACUACGUG
rnacentral:rRNA from 1 species